AUACGGAGGGUCCGAGCGUUAUCCGGAACCAUUGGGUUUAAAGGGUCCGUAGGCGGGAAUCUAAGUCAGUGGUGAAAUCUUGCAGCUCAACUGUAAAAUUGCCAUUGAUACUGGAUUUCUUGAAUUAGUGUGAAGUGGUUAGAAUGUGUAGUGUAGCGGUGAAAUGCAUAGAUAUUACACAGAAUACCAAUUGCGAAGGCAGAUCACUAACACUAUAUUGACGCUAAGGGACGAAAGCGUGGGGAGCGAACAGGAUUAGAAACCCCAGUAGUCC
rnacentral:rRNA from 1 species